AGGAGCAGCCAAGGGUGCAUUUCUAACAAGAAUAGCUUCGUGGAGAGAGGCCUGGCUCUGGUCAUUGCCAUCACUUCUCUUCCAGGUUGCAGAGAGAGCGGCAAGUCAAGUACUGGCCAGGACUGGAGUUGGGCCCAUGUGGGAGUAGCUUCUUGACUGCUACUUUGAAGCCUACCAGCACAUGUCGGACCCUGAGGAGAGGUUUGCCUUAGCACAAGUGAUCACUGAUACCAUGCGUAGGUGCCCAAAAUUGACCUCAGCCACCCUUACUUCAGUGAGGCCUGCUGAGAUGAAUGCCUCUGAGGAACUAACUGAGGCUUCACCUGCAGUUAGAGAGGAACAUCCUCAACAAGCACAUAGAAGUUCAGUGGGAGUAUGUCCUGAGGCUUCAGCGAGAAGGCCAUCCAGAGGAUAGAAAUAACUGUGGACUCCCCCUAACAUAAUUUGUGAACAACUU